rnacentral:rRNA from 1 species
GAUGAGCGCUAGCUACAGGCUUAACACAUGCAAGUCGAGGGGUAACGAGAGGAAAGCUUGCUUUCCUUGUCGACGACCGGCGCACGGGUGAGUAACGCGUAUCCAACCUGCCCCCAACUAGGGAAUAACCUUGCGAAAGUAAGACUAAUACCUUAUAAUUUCCUCAGAUGUCAUCUGACGAGGAAUAAAGAUUUAUCGGUUGUGGAUGGGGAUGCGUCUGGUUAGCUUGUUGGCGGGGUAACGGCCCACCAAGGCAACGAUCAGUAGGGGUUCUGAGAGGAAGGUCCCCCACAUUGGAACUGAGACACGGUCCAAACUCCUACGGGAGGCAGCAGUGAGGAAUAUUGGUCAAUGGGCGGAAGCCUGAACCAGCCAAGUAGCGUGCAGGAUGACGGCCCUAUGGGUUGUAAACUGCUUUUAUACAGGAAUAAAGUUAGCCACGUGUGGUUAUUUGUAGGUACUGUAUGAAUAAGGACCGGCUAAUUCCGUGCCAGCAGCCGCAGUAA